rnacentral:rRNA from 1 species
GUGAGGAAUCUUCCACAAUGGGCGAAAGCCUGAUGGAGCAACGCCGCGUGAAGGAUGAAGGUCUUCGGAUUGUAAACUUCUUUUAUGAGUGAAGAAUAUGACGGUAACUCAUGAAUAAGCACCGGCUAACUACGUGCCAGCAGCCGCGGUCAUACGUAGGGUGCAAGCAUUAUCCGGAGUGACUGGUCGUAAAGAGUUGCGUAGGCGGUUAUGUAAGCGAAUAGUGAAACCUGUUGGCUCAACCACACAGACUAUUAUUCGAACUGCAUAACUCGAGAAUGGUAGAGGUAAAUGGAAUUUCUUGUGUAGGAGUGAAAUCCGUAGAUAUAAGAAGGAACACCAAUGGCGUAGGCAGGUUACUGGGCCAUUUCUGACGCUAAGGCACGAAAGCGUGGGGAGCGAACCGGAUUAGAAACCCGUGUAGUCC